AACGAACGCUGGCGGCAUGCCUAACACAUGCAAGUCGAACGAGACCUUCGGGUCUAGUGGCGCACGGGUGCGUAACGCGUGGGAAUCUGCCCUUUGCUUCGGAAUAACAGUUAGAAAUGACUGCUAAUACCGGAUGAUGUCUUCGGACCAAAGAUUUAUCGGCAAAGGAUGAGCCCGCGUAGGAUUAGGUAGUUGGUGGGGUAAAGGCCUACCAAGCCGACGAUCCUUAGCUGGUCUGAGAGGAUGAUCAGCCACACUGGGACUGAGACACGGCCCCAGACUCCUACGGGAGGCAGCAGUGGGGAAUAUUGGACAAUGGGCGCAAGCCUGAUCCAGCAAUGCCGCGUGAGUGAUGAAGGCCUUCGGGUCGUAAAGCUCUUUUACCAGGGAUGAUAAUAGACAGUACCUGGAGAAUAAGACUCCGGCUAACUCCGU
rnacentral:rRNA from 1 species